AAACUUUAACAAUUUAUUAGAAAUGCAAAACAAAAUAUAAAUAUUGCAAGAAACAUCAUAUUAGUAUUGGAAAUACAAGAAAUAUUAACAACAUAUAUAAAUUGCAAGAAACAUUUAAAUAAAAUUUAAUAUGACAUAGAAAUUAAUAAACAAAAAUUACAAAUAAUUUACCUCACUGCUAAGGUUUUCCCCGCUUCUAUGGUUGUCCAUAGCUUUUAUCAAUGCAUCUCUCCAUUUCCCCAACUCUUU
rnacentral:lncRNA from 1 species